UCGAUUCUAACAAAUACGAUACCUAUAUAGAUAUCAAAAAUAUUAUGAAAUGCGACCAAAGUGACCAAGUACAAUCGCGUGGUCAAAUCGUAGAGUAUAGAAAGAACGAUCGACUAAAAAAUUAGUAUGGGGAUUCGAAACGGAAUGGGGAUUCCCUUAUAUUUCUCAGUUUAACACGCAGCACAUCAAUUUAGACCAAUAAUUGUUCAUCCAUCAAUUAGAUGUAGUGAAGCGACCAGAGUUCUGAAAACUGAUUUAAAUUCGGCGUGAAGUGAGUUUUGCACGGGCUUGGCCACUUUUUCG